GACGGAGGAUGCAAGCGUUAUCCGGAAUGAUUGGGCGUAAAGCGUCCGCAGGUGGCAGUUCAAGUCUGCUGUCAAAGACCGGGGCUUAACUUCGGAAAGGCAGUGGAAACUGAACAGCUAGAGUAUGGUAGGGGCAGAGGGAAUUCCUGGUGUAGCGGGUGAAAUGCGUAGAGAUCAGGAAGAACAUCGGUGGCGAAGGCGCUCUGCUGGACCAUAACUGACACUCAGGGACGAAAGCUAGGGGAGCAAACGGG
rnacentral:rRNA from 1 species